UCCCUGGUAGCUCAGACGGUAAAGUGUCUGCCUGCAAUGCGGGAGACCCAGGUUCGAUCCCUGGGUCGGGAA
rnacentral:tRNA from 1 species